GUUUUUCUAGAGAUUUCACCGAUUCUUUUGAAGUAUCGGUGCACCAAGUGAAAAAUAAAAUUGCGACGCUUUAGUGACGCUGGAGAAAGUUUUUAUCCAGUGUCUAAAGGCGCGGCGCAACAUUU
rnacentral:snoRNA from 1 species